UCGACAUAUUAUUUGAGAGAGUAUAUAUCACUCCUGAGGGUAAUUUAAGUGAUAUCAUGUACUUAGGGAGACGAAAAUGCUGACUGGUUUCCGUAAUCUCUACAUAACGUAGAAUCUAGGUCUAGUCUAGCAAACUAAGUUUUAGACAAUUUUCUCUGCCUCAUUCUAUUAUUCUUUAUUGUUCAUGCAGAUCUUGCGAAUCGAUUCAAUCUCUCUCAAGACAGAGGAACGGUUUCCAUGAGAUCAACACAGCAAGCUUAGCUCUCUGUCUCCUCGAAAGAAAGAGAGAACUCAAUACACACAUUCCCUCUUAAAACCAACUCAUCCCAUCAUCGUCUAUAAAUCGACCCAAAUCACUGAGCAGUUUAAUCUUCAGAAGAAGAACAGAUGGGACAUGUCACAAGAUUGGUUCAGCCGUCCUCCUUUGUAAGAUACUCGUACUCCCAUACUUUACAACUUUUUGUUUCGGCAUCAAAAUAACGGUUUCGACAAAGCAAACUCUUAUAGCCCUUGACAGCAAAAACUUAGGCAAUACAAUGCCUCAUAAAAAUCGUCAAAUGGUAAAACGAAACUCUAAGAUUUGUCUAAACGCUAGGGAAAAGUUGAACCUUCAAACAACAUAGUCUCAAAAAAUUCUACAGCAGCUCUUAACGUAAUUGUGUGUCAAGACAGCCUGUACUAAUAGCACCAAAGUAUUAAGGUAUAUAACCUGUUCGACUUAACAAAACUGAUCUCGUAUAACCAAAAAGGGUUGCUCCGAAAUUUCUAAGAACAAAGAAAGUGACGGAUAAGUAUCAAAAUGAUUUGCGAGAAAGAACGCACAAAGGAGUGAGCAAACAAGGAGAAAACUUUUUCCUCGCUCGUUGACCAGAACUCCCGCUGGUUGACCAAUUUGUCCCUCUCAGGCAACGUAUGUACCCUGAACGUUUCCCAUAAAACCUAGAAAACAAUUUCUCAAAAAAAUCAUAACAAAAUAACUUUCGUAAAAACUCGAUGAAUUACACAAAAAAAUUUCACGGAUGAUUAGAUUGAAAACGAAAAUGUUUCUAGUCAAAUCUGCAGAAACAUCACUCGUAAAACAUUACUCCGACGUUUCUUGACAAAGGUUUUCAAGAUAGUUUUCAUAAAACCGGUUACCCACGACUUUCAUAUAGCUAAAUCAUUUUGUACGAGAUAGUCUUCGGAAAAUCACAAUUUAUCAGAAACAACUUGGCGGAAAAAAACAUGACAGAGGAAAAAAUACUAUUACCUCAAAAACUUCACAAGCAGUUAUGAGCAACAAGCUCCCAUUACAUCUACACGAAACACUCUCGGAGAACAUAAUGCAAAGAUUCUUUCGUAAAAAAAUGCACCAAAUUGUAUAGCCGGACCGAGUUAUAUGAAACAACUUUCGAAAAACAAAACAAGUUUUACAAAACAAUAGUUAACAUGACCUUCGUACAUAAAAAGCAGAGCUAUACGAUUCGUCUUUCAGAUACAAAGCUAAACUGUCUCUUUUGGCGUUACGAUUGAGCAGAUAACCGCCCUCAGCCUUAAGGCUCAUAAGCUUUAACCACACACUCCUUGGCAUUACGGCCGGGGAUUUGGUCUCGAGCCUCUUCGGCUUCAUCUUCCUCAGUGAUGACUAAAACAAAGUUUGGCGAAGUCUUUCAGAACAAUACAUUUUACUAAAACAUAGUUUGGCGAACCACUGGUUCCCGUCGUAGAAAAAGUUAAAAAGUGUAGUAAAAAUUAUCUUUGAAGCAUGACUAAUGUUUAACUUUUAAGUCAAAUACUAAACAGUACAUUUUUACAAAAACAUGUCUCUGCCGAUGAACUACUGGUUCCCAGUGGCGGAGGGAGGUAGGGAGUAAGGGAGGCAGCUGCCCCCUAUGAAAUACUGAAAUAAUUACUUUUCCAUUGUUUAUCUGAGAAUUAUAUGAUUUUAGUUGUGACUUUUUUUCUACUACCCCCUAUAAAUUGAAGAUAAAUUUUAACUGCCUCUGGUAAAACUUUCGUUUGGCUCCGCCAUUGCUGGUUCCCAUCGUAAAAUAAAGGUUUUAUUCUUUUUGGAAUGAACGGAAUAAUCGUCUCCACAGGCAGACCUUCGCACCAUACUCCUCUCUUAUACUAAGCAUAGGCUACUUAGCCUUUAGGCAUUGCCUUGUAAAACAGUUUCCUUCUCAUGCUUUUAACUAGUAAUCCUUUAUAAAAAAAUGUUCAGUCAAAAAAAAGUUAUUAGUGUAGUAAAACUCAAAAUAAAAAUGCAUUUUAAACCUCCAGUGUUGUCAUAAACCCAUCUGGAUUUGGUGUUGAAGAGUUUUUUUUUUUGAAACACUUAGAAGAGUUUCUUAGAUUGUAAGUAUAUAUAUAUAACAAUGAAUUAAUACAGUAUUUUGAAGAUGCAUUUAACCCUAGCUUGGUACAUUAUUUAUUUUCAGGUUACCAAAUAAUGAUAUUGUCUUCACCACUGAUACUGGUGAGGAGUCUAAAGCCAUCAUGCUGAAACGAAACAAAAAUGAUAAUUGGUCUGGAUUACCAGAAAGAUCAAUAUCAGAAAUCCUAAUAGACAAUGAAGUAAGUUAUUAGUAUAUUUAAAAAAAUUAGAGACGUAUUGAAACAUCAAAAACUUCUCAAAACAUCGUACAUUAAGAAACAUAGGGAGUAUUUUGUUUUGGUUUGGUUCUUUUUUCUUUUUCUAUUAACGGAUUUAAAUAAAUUGCGUAUCAAAAAAAUUGUUUAAUUAAAUUUAAAAUUAGAAAAUAACCCUGUGCACAGCUCAAGUCAGACUCUAGUUAUAUAUUAAAUUUGUCAUCUUCGAUUCUUGUAUUUUAGCAUCAAAAUUUUCUCAUUUGAUGUACGUUGUGUAGAUAGAAUCUUUAGUUUAUUUGGUUUAUGAGUAUAAUAUAAAAACCAAACAUAAUAACUUGGGCAAUUCUCCAUAAUAGCCUCUUUUUAGCUUUUGUCUCAAAAAUGAUAUUGGAAGCUAAAAAUCACAACAAUAACCUUCAUUAACUGUUCAAAAGACUAUAAUACCCUCGCUUUAAAUUAAAUAAAACAAUUGAAAAAAAAAAUUCAGAAACAUCUUCGAUCUCUCUCACGGCGACGAACGAAACGUCAUCAUCUCCGACGAAGAACACUAACAUCAUCUCACGGCAACUCCGAUUUCUUUCCAUGAUCCCCGGCAAAGAACAUUGUCAUCAUCUCCGACGAAGCGCGUCGAUUCUCCAACGACGCCAUUUCCGAAUGAUUAUGAAGUCUAGGGUUUUGAGAUUCAAAUAUGGGGCUUCUAUCUUCAAUGAUAAUUGCUUGCGUUUUAGAGUUACUUGAGAACUAAUAAGUUUGCUUUUCUGUAUUAAUCGAAUAUAUUUACUUUGAGCAGUACAAAAAUCUAAGGUAAUGCAUCUUAUAUUCUCGGAAAAGUAUUUGCCUUGCUGGGAUUUGGUUAUGCCGUUAACAUGUUCGAUAGAAUGCUUCUGAGAUUGGAUAUUUAGUAGCACAGAAGUUAAAUGCUGCUGUUGUGAUCAGUAGAACUGUUCUUGGCUAUUUAUUUCCAUGUCUGUGUGUGUUGAUGUUUUAGUUCUCUUGUUCCUCUAGAAGUUAUAGCUUUUUCUUGUUAAGAACACAUAUAAAAGUUAUAACUUUUUCAUGUUCUCUUUAUUCGCAACUGUAAUGUGCCUCAUUAGACUGUUUGGUACUGUUUGUAGCUGAAGAGAACCACUAUUAACCCGAGAAGUUGUUCUGGUAAAGACAAAGCUCUGUUGCGUUUGUUGUCCAGCGAAGGAAAUGUCCUUGGAAGUUGUUGGAGCUCAAAUCAAAGGCUGCUGAAUUGUGGAAACACAAGGUUUUUAGGACAGUAACACUAUGGGAGAUUCAUUACAUCAUUAAAAUGUUUGGUACUAUUUGUAGCUAAAGAGAAACGCCGUUACCUGAGAAGUUGUUCUGGUAAAGACAAAGCUUUGUUGCAUUUGUUGGAGCUUUAAUCAAAGGCUGCUAAAUUUUGGGAACACAAGGUUUUAAGGGCAGCAACAUGAUGGGAAAUUCAGUACCUGAAAUACUAGCACUGCAUGAGCUCAAGUAUCCUAUAAGAUCACAGCCAAACUCAAGAGUGAAAAUAAACCAAUACUUGAGCACUGCUUAUAUCAAAAAUGUCUAGGUAUUCUGAAGCCAGAAGAGUUAGAUAGAAUCCUUGGACGUUUUUUUCAUUUAGAUUGUUAUUGAAGAAUUCUCAGGAUGUCUUGAAGCAUUCUGUAAUUCUAUCAAGAAAAUGUUAAAAUGUGUUAUCAUUGUAAAACACAUAUUAUAUUCUAUCUAGGAUAGCUUAUGGUAAUUUUAGGAUGGUAUAGGAAUAUAAUCCAUUGAUUUGUAUUCAAUUAAAAAACCGAUCCGAUUCCAAGAAGAAU